rnacentral:rRNA from 1 species
UACAGAGGGUGCAAACGUUGUUCGGAAUUACUGGGCGUAAAGCGCGUGUAGGCGGCUCGGAAAGUCGGAUGUGAAAGCCCUGGGCUUAACCUAGGAAGUGCAUUCGGAACUCCCGAGCUUGAGUUCUGGAGAGGAAGGCGGAAUUCUCGGUGUAGAGGUGAAAUUCGUAGAUAUCGAGAGGAACACCGGUGGCGAAGGCGGCCUUCUGGACAGUGACUGACGCUGAGACGCGAAAGCGUGGGGAGCAAACAGG